GUUGCAGGCUAUCGUGUGUUAGCCUCUACUUCUCCCGCAGAGUUUGGAGAAAGCGGCAGCAGAGUGUGCUGCCGCAGGCUGGAGCCUGGAACCUGGAGCCCUGGAGCCUUGAAUGGUGUGUGGUGGCAAUGGAGAGAGGCAGCUGGCAGUGACAGCUGCUCCGUGCUUGGCUACAGGAAGGAAAGAAGGAGAAGGCACCUACCAUAGGCUGUAGGCUAGAGCCUGCAGGACUGCGGCUGGCCUCGCUGGCUCGCCUCCCUGGCUGGCCUCGCUGUGGUUGGUGGCAGCGACGGAUACUGCAGCUGGCCAGAGUGUAGAAAGGCAAUGGGGAGCGCAGUCCUGGUGGGCCCAGCGGUUCCUGUGGAUUGGAGCCAGGCAGUGUGAUGUUACCAGUCACCACUCCAGGUCCCAGUUCCUGGCCCGCUUGAGCCAAAAGGAGAGGCUGGACUUUGGAGGGUGGAUAUGAGUGCCUUCACUGAGACUGGCCCCUGCCACCCAGUGGCCAGGAUGACAAGGGUGGCUCCUGGAGCCUGGACUCACAUACAUCACCAUGACUGAGCCAUAGAAGAAAGAAACAACCAAGAAAUGGGAAGCACAUGUAGAGAAAGCUUUGUUCCUGCCUGAGCCAGCUGGGACCCACAGAACAGCUCGCAAAACUAAGAUAUGGGACCCAAGAAUGUAGAGGAAGGUGAUGAAGAUGAUGAGAGAGCUUACUGUAGCACAAGUCAGAGUAGUUUUGGGAACUGGGGCACAGGACAGUGCCAGCAAUGGUCCCAGGUUACAGAAAAAAUGGUCAGUGAUGUUAGGGCCACAGAAAGGCACUCGGGACAUAAGCACUGCAGGCAUCAGUAUGGAUAGAAAACCACCUGCCCUGCAGAAGGCCACUAAUCGGACACACAGGUGGUGAGUCAUGACUGUGGGAUAAUGCAAAGGUCGACAGAUGGUAAGGAACCGAUCAAAGGACAUCACAGACAGAAAGUAGCCCUCUGCAGCACACAUGGAGAAGUAGAAGAACUGGAGCAGGCAGCCAGCAUAGGAGAUGCUCUUGAUAUGGGAGAUGAGAUUGGCCAACAUUUUGGGACAUCAGAACUAAUGCAGCAGAUCUCCAGGAAAGAGAAAUUAGCCAAGAGGAUGUACAUAGGUGUGUGGAGUUUCUGGCUUGACCACACAGCGCAGAUGAUGGAUGUGUUACCCAUGAGGGUCAGAAGGUAGAUGAGGGAGAAGACCACAAAGAGGAGGAUCUUGGUCUCCCUGCAGCAGGCAGGGGAAGCCCAGGAGGAUAAAUUCACUCACAGGCCCAGAAAUGUUAUUGGCUUCUACGACACUCAUUCUUCUAAUCUAUGAAGGAAAUGAACGAUAGGGACCACUACAAUAGCCAUUUUCUCUCUCUUAAAGUGUUAUAUUUAUUUCUUUUGACUCCAAGACAAUCUUUUAAUGCACUUUUGUGAAAAGUUCCAUAUAGUUCUCAAUUCAAUAACUCACCUCCCAUCUUUGUCUUAGUUCAAUGAAAUCAGGGUUAUGGGAGAAUGUGGCUCAACAUGUUACUACGUGAUCCCACAGCCUCCACUAUAUCAUAUCUCUGUUUUUCAGAGUGUAAGUUUCAUUGACAUCACAUAACAUAGGGUCCAAACGACUUUCUCUAUUUGCAUUUAAAUUAAUUCUGCUUUGAUGUAAUGUUUUGUAAUACACAUAUUCAAAUAUUUAUACAUAUAAUUUCUCCCUAUUAGAAAAUUUUGUAUUGUAUUUUGAAAAAUUCUAAGAAAAA
ensembl:lncRNA novel transcript